AAAAAAGCAAACCUUAGAUUUACGUGUCAACGUUUGACUGUUCGUUUUAUAUAAAAAAAUUUAUAAUUAGUAUUUUCAUUGUUGUCAGAUGAUAAAACAUGAUUAAUACUUUAUGCGUGACUUAUCUUUUUAAUUCUUUUCAUAAUUUUUUCAAAUAAGAUGGACGGUCAAAUGUUGGAUACGGAAAUCAAGGUUUGUCUUUUUU
rfam:Oryza sativa Indica Group scaffold000427 genomic scaffold, whole genome shotgun sequence.